rnacentral:rRNA from 1 species
AUUGAACGCUGGCGGCAGGCCUAAUACAUGCAAGUCGAGCGAGCGGCGGACGGGUGAGUAAUGUAUGGGGACUGCCCGAACGAGGGGGGUAACUAAUGGAAACGGUUGCUAAAUCCGCAUCCUAUCGGAUGAGCCAUAUGGGAUUAGCGAGUAGGUGAGGUAAUGGCUAACCUAGGCGACGAGCCCUAGCUGGUCUGAGAGGAUGAUCAGCCACACUGGGACGGAGACACGGCCCAGACUCCUACGGAGGCAGCAGUGGGGAAUAUUGCACAAUGGGCGCAAGCCUGAUGCAGCCAUGCCGCGUGUAUGAAGAAGGCCCUAGGGUUGUAAAGUACUUUCAGUCGGGAGGCGUUACCGACAGAAGAAGCACCGGCUAACUCCGUGCCAGCAGCCGCGGUAAUUC